GACGAACGCUGGCGGCGUGCCUAAUACAUGCAAGUAGAACGCUGAAGGAGGAGCUUGCUUCUCUGGAUGAGUUGCGAACGGGUGAGUAACGCGUAGGUAACCUGCCUGGUAGCGGGGGAUAACUAUUGGAAACGAUAGCUAAUACCGCAUAAUAGUAGAUGUUGCAUGACAUUUGCUUAAAAGGUGCAAUUGCAUCACUACCAGAUGGACCUGCGUUGUAUUAGCUAGUUGGUGGGGUAACGGCUCACCAAGGCGACGAUACAUAGCCGACCUGAGAGGGGUGACGGCCACACUGGGAACGAGGCACCGCCCCGAAUCCUUACGGGGGGAGCAGGAGGGGAAUUUCGGCAAAGGGGGGAAGUCUGGCCGCACAAAGCCGCGGGGGGGGAGGAGGGUCUCGGAUCGUAAAACUCCGUUGUAAGAGAAGAAAGAGUGGGAGGGUGGAAAGUUCACACUGUGACGGUAUCUUAACAGAAAGGGACGGCUAACUACGUG
rnacentral:rRNA from 1 species